rnacentral:rRNA from 1 species
CCUACGGGUGGCAGCAGUGGGGAAUAUUGGGCAAUGGGCGCAAGCCUGACCCAGCAACGCCGCGUGAAGGAAGAAGGCGUUCGGGUUGUAAACUUCUUUUAUCAGGGACGACGCAAGUGACGGUACCUGAUGAAUAAGCCACGGCUAACUACGUGCCAGCAGCCGCGGGAAUACGUAGGUGGCAAGCGUUAUCCGGAUUUACUGGGUGUAAGGGCGUGUAGGCGGGAGUUCAAGUCAGAUGUGAAAACUAUGGGCUCAACCCAUAGCCUGCAUUUGAAACUGUACUUCUUGAGUGCUGGAGAGGCAAUCGGAAUUCCGUGUGUAGCGGUGAAAUGCGUAGAUAUACGGAGGAACACCAGUGGCGAAGGCAGAUUGCUGGACAGUAACUGACGCUGAGGCGCGAAAGCGUGGGGAGCAAACAGGAUUAGAUACCCGAGUAGUC